CCGAUGGCAAGACCCACCGCUGCUAGACCUGAUCGAAUAAUCCACACCCACACAGGUUCAUCGGAUGCAAUAAUUUAAUUAAUUACCGGACAAAUUGCGUGCAAAUUGAUCAAUGUGCUAGCUGCAUCUGCAUAGUUGUCGUCGUCGUUCUCUCAUCGAUCGGUCGGCAGCAAGUACCGGACCCCGGCGAUCGAUCAGCCGUACGUAUGACUAGUUUGUACAGCAUCCUCAUCUCUGAAUCGUGGCAGCAGUGGGCGCCGCCGGAAUUGAAGGCCAUAUGCAUGCCUGCCUGCCUGCCUGCUGGCCGAGUACAUGCAUAGAUCCACAGUACAUGGGAAUUGCAAGCACGCUCAAUUCAACUGUAAUGUGUAUGUCCAAUGCCCAUGUCUGUAUUAGGCUUGCGUCGUUCUCUUCCUAAUUUUAGGACAAUUGCAUGACUAUUUUAGAGUCUAAUUAUAGAUUUAGUCCUGUUUUUUUUACUUUGCAGAUUUAACCUCGGUUUUCAAAAUCAAAUCUUCCGUUUGACCCUGCUGUUAAUUUACCAUGAGCAGUGUAAAUAGAAACAAGAGAAAAAAAAUAAACAUGCAAAAUAACAACAAUACCCCUCUCUUCUCUCUAAUCCUAUCUGUAGUUCCCCUCUCCCAU
rnacentral:lncRNA from 1 species